UACUGUGCAGAGUCACGAUUUGAAACGUGUUACAUUGAAUUAGAAUACUAACGGUAUUUUAAUAGGAUCUAUGUUUUAGGCCACGGCCCACAGCUUCUUCUAUGGGGGGCAAGGCGUCACUGAGUUUCCCAAGCAAAAUAUUAAUUUAAACAUUUGAGUUAUCCACAGAUUUGCAGAGCACUGAUUACCUACUUUAUGUAAGAGGGAUUUGGUGAGCACAAGACGUUGCGAAUACGUCUUUUCAACAAAAAAUACGUAUUUAACGUCUUUUGCUCAUAUGAAAGGAAAAGUAUUCGAACUCGGUCAUCUCCUACCUGGGGUUUGUGAAUACGCUCAAAGUCGUAACGAACGUGUAUCGAAUGGUUUAUGCUGGAUGAUUGACAUGGGGUGAUGUUUUGAAGCCACAUCGCCUCCAUCUUGGAACUCCCCCAUAAUUGUAAAAAAAUAUAUUUUGGAAGCAAUAUAAAUGCAUUUAUUCAUAUCUGCAUUUGUUUUUGCGACGUUUAUUCUAUUACCAACACCUUAAAGGAGAAUUUCACUAUUUAGGACCCUAAUCUGUAUAUAUUAUGUAAAUGAAAUGUUGCACAACAAGGGUCUCCAACCCUGUAACUUGAGAGCUUACCCUCCAGUUGUAAUUAACCUGGUUCAGCUUAUCAACCAGCUAAUUAUUAGAAUCAGGUGUACUAUAUUAGGUUUGUAGUGAACCUACAAGAUGCUAGCACUCCAGGAACAGGUUUGAAAAGCCCGGUUAUAGAAGGUCCCAAACUGAAGAAAUGUACUUAAUUAGUCUCAUUCUGCAGGUCUUUAAUGUUGUACACAUGAAAGUGUGUCAUACCUUGAUCUUCAAGGUUAUAAUCCAUUUUGUUUAACUCUAACAAUAUUUUCCAGCGUGUAAGUUUGAUCAGAAGCGUACUAGCCAGGUUCACAAUGUGUCCAAUGUAAACUAGGGCUGGGCAAUAAGGACUAAAACUCAUCUUGAUUUCUUUCAGAUGUAUGGCUGAUUCAUGAUAUCAAAAAAGCUUUGUUGUUCAAAUAAAGUUCAAUAAAGUUCAAUACACUGCAUUUCAAACAGUCAGGAAUAAUCAAAUGAAUUCAGGGAAUGGAGAAGUAUACGUAGGCUAAAUAUAAGCCUUUGACAACCAUAAUAACAACCCACUAAUAAUUUUAUUAUUUUAUCAAAGUAGUUUAACCUGCUUUUUUGCAAUAAUCACUAAUCUGGCUUUCAAGUCUGUCUAUGAAAAUGCCCUUUUUUUGUUACAAAUGUUACCAGAACCAUGCACAUUCACUGCUAAUAACUGACCUCUUGUAGCAGGCAUAAUAGAAACUGGGUCUCAUACACAAUCUCUCAAGUACAAGCCACGUGCUAGUGAAUAUAGCCAGCUAAUCUUUACAUAUCAAGUCAUCUUGGUUCUAUUUGCUUGCUAACAAGGUAGAACAGUUGAACUGUUAUGAAUAGACCCUCCUGUCCAUCUCCAACUCUUUGAAAAGCAGCCUGUUCACUUUGUUUAGAUGUGGAUAAGAACAUGCUUAUUUCUCAGAAUGGGAUCGAGUUUGCCAAUUCCUUAUAUAAAUGUAUAUUUUUAUGAUCAUUGCACAUUUAUAAAACAGACAGCUCGCACCAUAAGUUCUUGCAGGGGGCGGCAGUGUAGCCCAGUGGUUAGAGCAUUGGACUGGUAUCCAGAAGGUUGAGAGUUCAAACCCCCGAGCUGACAAGGUACAAAAUCUGUCGUUCUGCCCCUGAACAGGCAGUUAACCUGCUGUUCCCAGGCCGUCAUUGAAAAUAAGAAUUUUUUUCUUAACUGACUUGCCUGGUUAAAUAAAGGUAAAAAUAAAAAAAAUUCAGAGCACGACAAACUGAGGAUACAUUUUCUACAUGUUCAUUGAUAUUCUCGUUUUAGCUGGGGCUGCUUUGUUCUACAUUUUCUGAGUUGGGACAUAAAAAGGGUAAAUUCUCAUCUAUUACAGUAAAAGAAUGUCUCUUAAGCGUUUCAGUGUCCAUUUGACUGAUUCUGUUGAAUCAAACCUCAAAUGCCAAUAGUGAGUUAAACUGCUUCGUGUCAGCAGUGAAUCUUUCAUCUUUGUUGUGAGUGGCAGGGGGAGGGUCUUGAUGUCUGUGCAAGUGGGAAAGUGCACACUGCGAAGGAGACUACACUAAAAAGAGACGGAACGCUCAUUUAAAACAAAUUAAAAAAUUGGGUUACAUGUAUUUAGAUCAAUACAUGAAAAACAUACAUUAAAAUUAAUUUGAUAUAUCGCCCAGCCCUACUGGAAUUAUAGAGCUUCUAAUCUACCGAGCAAGCUAAUCAUUUUUUUAUUUCAAACUACUACGCUACCAACUUGUCUGACUACGAAUACAAUGAGGCGAGGCUUAUUUAUUUGAAUCAGAAUACACAGACGAGGAUCUUUAACAGAUCGAGGAGAGGGAGAGAGACGGAGCAGAGAGGCUCAGGCAGAUAUUCAACUCGCAGCUGAGGCUCGACUCACCAUCUGGGAACUGGUGGUGUACCUGCAAUGCUAAGUGAAGCCCAUUGAAGACGAGUGCCUUUCCUGUGCGGAUUGGGACCUGCUUAUGCCAGCCUUGGAAAAUCUAGAAUUGUCCGGCGACAAGAAAACGUUGUCCCGCGAGCCCAUCAUACUGUGUAAUCAUUGACAAUCACUUUUCCAAACCUUAUAAACCGAGCAGUUGUAGAAAUGUUUUUCUGUGUACUGAAAAUGAACUAGAAGAAGAGACCUUGGCCAUAGGGACCUAAUGGUCAGCUGUCAAUAAAGUAAGUACAGGUAGUUUGUGUAUGAUAAAUAGACUUCACAGCAUUACAGUAUUAUAGGCUAUAUGGCAUGAGUCACCCAUAUGGUUAUCAGUAGAUCAACCUAGUGUUAUUCUGCUUCCGCACAGCGAGCUGAUGUUUUAAACAUUUUUUUUAGGCAAUAUAGACUUGUGGCUUACAGAGUGGUCUUGGAAUGGGAAUUGAAAAGCGAACGACUUGGAUGUUGUUUGAGACGAGUGUUACCCAGUUGUGUUGUCACCAUCUGCAACAAGUACCCCUCACCCACCGGUGUCUACACUGGAUUCAAGGAGGCAGGUGGUGCUUUCGGUAUCCUUUUGAACAACCUUCCACCGAUGGCUCAUUACCUUUUCCUCCCCUUUCUAUUCUCCUUUUUGCAUUAAUUAUUUUGUAGUUUAUUCUGCAAUUCUACUUUAUGCUGCAAAUGUAACAUGUAACAUAGCCUUAAAAUCCCCACUUGAGGUUUCUUGUGACAAAAAAAAGACUAUGCCAAAUCAGUAAUUUAUACAUCUAAGUGAAAGCAUUAUUGGUAACUGUUUUGAUAAGCAGUAUUAUUUCUGUUAACUAUAUAUAAAAAAUAUUUGUCAUUGCACUUGCCCGGGUGGUAAGGGUAACGCAUGGUAGAUCCCUGAGGUGGAACGCGUUGUGCGUGGGUUUGCCUGCUGUGGACUGGAGAGCAGCAAUCUCAGUUCUGUGAUAUCUACAGAUUCUGAUGCAGUUGUUCCAUGGGUUCCAGAUUUCAUCUACCACGUUCAUCUGUUCAAACGAUAGUACGCAAGUAUAAACACCAUGGGACCACACAGCCGUCAUACCGCUCAGGAAGGACACACGUUCUGUCUCCUAGAGAUUAAUGUACUUUGGUGCAAAAAGUGCAAAUCAAUCCCAUAACAACACCAAAAAAGCCUUGUGAAGAUGCUGGAGGGAACCGGUACGAAAGUAUCUAUAUCCACAGUAAAACGAGUCCUAUAUCGACAUAACCUGAAAGGCCGCUCAGCAAGGAAGAAGCCACUGCUCCAAACCCACCAUAAAAAUGCCCGACUACUGUUUGCAACUGCACAUGGGGACAAAGAUUGUACUUUUUAGAGAAAUGUCCUCUGGUCUGAUGAAACAAAAAUAGAACAAUUUGGCCAUAAUGACCAUUUUAAUGUUUGGAGGAAAAGGGGGAGGCUUGCAAGCCGAAGAAAACCAUCCCAUCCGUGAAGCACAGAGGUGGCAGCAUCAUGUUGUGGGGGUGCUUUGCUGCAGGAGGGACUGGUGCACUUAAAAAAACAGAUGGCAUCAUGAGGCUGGAAAAUUAUGUGGCUAUAUUGAAGCAACAUCCAAGACAUCAGUCAGGAAGUUAAAGUUUGGUUGCAAAUUGGUCUUCCAAAUGGAUAGUGACCCAUACUUCCAAAGUUGUUGCAAAAUGGUAUAAGGACAAAUAAGUCAAGGUAUUGAUGUGGCAAUCACAAAGCCCUGACCUCAAUCCUAUAGAAAAUGUGUAAGCAGAAUUUAAAGGUGUGUGCGAGCAAGGAGGCCUACAAUCCUGACUCAGUUACACCAGCUCUGUCAGGAGGAAUGGGCCAAAAUUCACCCAACGUAUUGAGGGAAGCUUGUGGAAGGCUACCUGAAACGUUUGACCCAAGUUAAACAAUUUAAAGGCAAUGCUACCAAAUACUAAUUGCGUGUAUGUAAACUUCUGACCACUGGGAAUGUGAUGAAAGAAAUAUCAGCUUAAAUAAAGCACUCCUAUUAUUCUGACAUUACACAUUCUUCAAAUAAAGUGGUGAUCAUAACUGACCUAAUACAGGGAAUUUUUACUAGGAUUAAAUGUCAGGAAUUGUGAAACUGAAUUUUUAAAUGUUUUUGGGAAAGGUGUAUGUAAACUUCCGACUUCAACUGUAUCUGUGUAAUUUAGACGGGUUGAUCGAGGGACAUGGCUAGUUUAGCUGUCUGGCUAACUCUAGGCAACCUAGCUAGCUAAUUAUAAAAUAUAAAUUGUGGGUGCCUGCAUCCGGGAACAUAAAAAAAUGACAUUACUUUUUUAGUUUGUUUAACAUUUGGAUGCUGACAGUAAUGUUAGCUAGCCAUCUUUCAGCCGCCAUCUUGGCUGGUGACAGCUGGUCUGUGGCCCUGCCCAGAAAGACCAUAAGGCCUAUUUUGUGGGUUUUGAGGUAGACUUGAUCCCCAACAGAUAUUCUAAGCUAUUUUCACGUUCCUUCCUAGCGACGAAAUGAAACAUUAGUUCACAAUGUUCAUUCACAUAUUAGUGUUAUUUAACAUCAUAAAUCAUAGGAAUUUGACGUUUUUAGUGUAGCAUGAUAGCAGGUCAGGCGUCUGAGGCUUUAAGAUUCUUUGGGAGAAUCUGAUAAAUAGGCACCCUGGUUAGACUGCUCCAAACUAAAAUGCACAUAAGCGACAGUACUACACUGCCAAGCGUUUAUCCAAUAUACACUGAGUUUACAGAACGUUAAGACCACCUGCUCUUUCCAUGACAUACAGUGCAUUCGGAAAGUAUUCAGACCCCUUGACUUUUUCCACAUUUUGUUACAUUACAGCCUUAUUUGAAAUUGGAUUAAAUACUUAAGUAUUCAGACCCUUUACUCAGUACUUUGUUGAAGCACCUUUGGCAGCAAUUACAGCCUCAAUUAUUUUGGGGUAUGAUGCUACAAGCUUGGCACACCUGUAUUUGGUGAGUUAUUCCCAUUCUUCUCUGCAGAUGCUCUCAGGUUAGACGGAGAGUGUCGCUGCACAGCUAUUUUCAGGUCUCUCCAGAGAUGCCAGAUCAGGUUCAAGUUCGGGCUCUGGCUGGGACACUCAAGGACAUAGAGAAUUGUCCUGAAGCCACUCCUGCGUUGUCUUGGCUUGGCUGUGCGCUAAGGUUCGUUGUCCUGUUGGAAGGUGAACCUUCACCCUAGUUUGAAGAUCUCUGUACUUUGAUCCAUUCAUCUUUCCCUCGAUCCUGACGAGUCUCCCAGUCCCUGCUGCUGAAAAACAACCCCACAGCAUGAUGCUGCCACCAUCAUGCUUUACCGUCGGGAUGUUGCCAUGUUUCCUCCAGAUGUGAUGCUUGUCAUUCAGGCCAAAGAGUUCAAUCUUGGUUUCAUCAGACCAGAGAAUCUUGUUUCUCAUGGUCUGAGUACUUUAGGUGCCUUUUUGCCUACUCCAGCGGGCGGUCACGUGCCUUUUACUGAGGAGUGGCUUCCGUCUGGCCACUCUACCAUAAAGGCCUGAUUGGUGGAUUGCUGCAGAGAUGGUUGUUCUUCUGAAAGCUUCUCCCAUCUCCACAGAGGAGCUCUGAGUGACCAUUGGGUUCUUGGUCACCUCCAUGACCAAAGCCCUUCCAUGAUUGCUCAGUUUGGUCGGGCAACCAGCUCUAGGAAAAGUCUUAGUGGUUCCAAACAUCAUCCAUUUAAAAAUGGAAGCCACUGUGUUCUUGGGGACCUUCAAUGCUGCAUGACUGUUUUGGUACCCUCCCCAUGAUCUGUCCCUUGACACAAUCCUGUCUCUGAGCUCUACAGACAUUUCCAUCAACCUCAAGUCUUUGGUUUUUGCUCUAACAUGCACUGUCAACUAUGGGACCUAUAUAUAGACCGGUCCAAAUUAUGUCCAAUCAAUUGAAUUUACCACAGGUGGACUCCAAUCAAGUUGUAGAAACAUCUCAAGGAUGAUCAAUGGAAACAGGAUGCACCUGAGCUCAGUUCUGAGUCUCAGAGUAAAGGGUCUGAAUUCUUAUGUAAAUAUUUCAGUUUUUAUUUUUAAAUUGGCAGAAAAAUCAAAACCAGUUUUCGUUUGUCAUUAUGGGGUAUUGUGUGUGGAUUGAGGGAAAACAUUUUGUUUAUCCGUUUUAGAGUAAGUCUGUAAUGUAACAAAAUGUGAUGAAAGUCAAGGUGUCUGAAUACUUUCCAAAUGCACUGUAGACUGACCAGGUGAAUCCAGGUGAAAGCUAUGAUCCCUUAUUGAAGUAGAUUUAACAAGUGACAUCAAUCAGUGUAGAUGGUGUGGAGGACACUGGUUAGAGAUGCCUUGAGACAAUUGAGACAUGGAUUGUGUAUGUGUGCCAUUCAGAGGGUGAGUGGGCAAGACAAAAUAUUUAAGUGCCUUUGAAUGGGGUAUGGUAGUAGGUGCCAGGUGCACCGGUUUGUGUCAAACUAACACUGCUGAGUUUUUCACGCUCAACAGUUUCCUGUGUGUACCAAGAAUGGUCCACCGCCCAAAGGACAUCCAGCCAACUUGACACAACUGGGACGCAUUGGCGUCAACAUGAGCCAACAUCCCCGUGGAACGCUUUCGACACCUUGUAGAGUCCAUGCCCAAACCAAUUGAGUCUGUUUUGAGGGCAAAAGGGGGGAAGGGGGUGCAACUCAAUAUUAGACCUACAUCAGCUCUAUCUCCCAGAUGAGGUGUCUCCUGAGCGGCAGCACUGUGAGCAGGAGUGGAGCCCCAGUCUGAAGCAAGAGGACCCAGAGCCCUCACAGAUUAAAGAGGAACAUGAAGUCUGGACUAGUCAGGGGGGAGAACAGCUUAAAGAGCUAGAGUCUGAUACCAAGGAGUUCAUAUUCACUCCCUCUGUGGAAAAUCUGGAACCACCUCAGACCUCACAUCUUUUCCAAAUGCAAAUUGUGGUCUCACCCACCAGUACAACUAAAGAGAUCAAGAUGAAACCAUGUCACAUUGGUGAAAACUCUUCUUGUCAUGUUUGUGGUAAAGGUUUUGACUGUAAAUCUGGUCUGGAAAGGCACAUGAGGGCUCAUACUGGUGAAAAACCUUAUUGCUGCAGUGAAUGUGGCAAAUGCUAUAGUCAGAUAGGAAAUCUGAAAGUGCAUAUGAGGGGGCACACAGGGGAGAGAUCAUACAGAUGCUUUUUGUGUGGAGAAUACUUCAUCACAGCAUCCCAAUUAAAAUCACAUAAAAUCACUCACACGCAGGGGAGUAAUAUAAUCCCGGGGACAUCCAAAAGCAAAUCUCGUUUGUAUGCUGGUAACAGUCGUGAGACUAGGGAGGGGCCGUAUCAGUGCAAGGAAUGUGUUAAAUCCUUCAGGCAGAAGAGGAACAUGUUACGGCAUAUGAGAAAUCACACAGGAGCAAUUAAUGCAGCAAAUGCUUCAACUGGAGUGUAAAAAAAAUUAUUACAUGAUUUACACAAAGGAGAACAUUUAUUUUGUGUCCUAAUGCUCCAGCAACAAAUUCAAACAAGUGAAAUCCACAUCAAUGCAAGGACUUCAGAAAAUGGUUUAGAAAGCUUGGAUUCGGAUAUCUUGAAAGUUAAAGGAGAAGGAAACAUGGGAGGAAACAUGAACGUGUCAUUUGGAUCAGUAGGAGUUGACUAAUGGACUUGUAGAACAUCAAAUUAUUUCAUUACAUUAUCACAUUUGUUGUUUUUGGCGAAGAUAUUUAGGAUUUGUAAGCAGUCUCAAACUUUUAUGAAUAAAAGUUGUACAGCUGUAUUCUAGAAUAUGGUGUGUUAAAAUGGACCAUUGAAUCUAACAUUUUGGAACCUGCGGAGGAUCACAUUCCCAGUCAAUCCCCAUCUAAAUUGAUCAUGCCUUUCUGCAAACUCCAUUAUCCUUGCGAGGCAGAUGUUUUUACAGAUGCUCUUAAACAUGACUGGCAUACAACAGUCUUUUCUGGGACCAACAUUACUGUGUUAAAAACAAAUGUAUAUUUUAAUAAAGAUGUGUUUUAAAUGGAUCUAAUUUUAAAGAACAUUUUACUUUGCUUAUGUAUAUGCCUACAGUCUGUUUUCCAUUUCCUAGUUUAAUCUCACAAUACCUUCUUCUACUUACUACAAAUACCUUGGCUGUAGUCAAUUAACCAAGACAAUGUUUGUGUCUUUAGUUUCCCUACUCAAAUACUUAAUAUCUACUCUGUAUUUAGUUGUCUUAGC